rnacentral:lncRNA from 1 species
AAUGGUGCUUCUGUUGCAUCUUGUGAAAACAACAAUUACAGUAUUGAUAAAGAAACCAACUCAUCUGAGAUUAAAUCAGCAAAUAAGGUAGCAUGUCCUCUAAUUAGGUUUUUGUUCUCCAAGUUUCUUUCAGUCAAUUCUUUACCUUGUGCUUUCAGGUUUCAAACAAUAUUUAUGGUUGUUCGGAUGAAAAGAAUUGGCGAGCAUGAUUUUCCUUGUCCUCUCAAUAAUAUGAUACAACAACCGAAUAAUUGUGCUCGUGAAACAAGAAAAUGACCAAAAGCUAGCAUCACAGUUUAUGAACCUGACAUGGGUGUCUAUUUAACUUCUAAUAUGAGUUCUUUUGUUCGGCUAUAUUCUUCUGGAACAGUCACUACAGGAACAAAUCAUCGAGUUCUUCUUUUGGAAAGUUAUAUGGUCAAUUGGUGCAUAUUUAUUGAUCUUUCAAUUUGUUACCAGAUACUUACACCACUUCCGGCAAAUCGUUUUCUGAAACUGAAUCAAGUGAGAUCAAUACUGAGUACAAGAAGAAAAGAAUUCCAUCGGUUUCUACAUCAUUACUACUUUUACUGGGUGUGAAAGCGGCAAGUGUUCCUUCAUGCCAUUUUUUUUGCUUCCCAUAUUGUGGACUACUUUAUUUCAGCACAAACAUUAGUUAUUAACAUCAACUUUUCCCAUGUAUUUUAAAACUAAUUGAUUUCCCUUCAUCAAAAGUGGACAAUUGAGGGCUCUUCUAUUAUCAAGCUGCUCAUGUUUUGUGCCAAGAGUUGCAAGUUAACUUAUUAAUAAUUGGAUACGGGCAUAUCUUAGAUUUUGAGAUUGGACAAAAUACUGAAUCAAAUGGUAACUAGAGGAAAACAAUUGCUCCAGAUAC